UAAGAAACGUUUCUCCCACUGAAAACGCUACGUCCAGAUGAACAGAAUCAACCUUUUGGGAUUUACUUACUUAGAUGAUUGAGCAUGCAUCAAGACUGUCUAGAUGCUCUUGCAUGUUAGAUUAAAGACUGACAGUAAAUUUCAAUGUUUAUAAUUCUGUCAAUUUUGAAUAGCACCAACACCACUGUCUAAAAUGCAGCUCCAAACCAUGACAACCAUGUUUUACAGAUGGCUGUAAAACCCUGUUGUGCCUCUCCUCCCCUUUUCUGUUCAUGCUAAAAAUUUUGUUGCGUUUGUUCAACUGCAUUGGACAGUUUUUGCUGUGACAUUUAGAUGGUAGAGUCAGAAUUUGAUAUAAACACCAUGAAAUUGGGGAUUUUACUGGAAUUUUGCUUUCUAAGUUUAAACUAAGAAAAUAGGUGUUUCCCAAAAUGACAAAGUCUAGCUUUGCUUUAUUUCACAACUAUUGCGUUUUGGUUGUGAAAUGAGAACAUUACUCUGUGGGCCUGUGAAAUAUUAAGUACAGUAUUACAACAGAGUUAUUUUUAGUGCUUUCUAUCUUCUAUGAAAAUAUUAAUGUCUUUCUCACCAUCCCCCUCUCUUCUUUUCUAGCUAUUUCUUGUCAGUUGUGCUGUCAAUAAUCUCCAUUUUCUUAUAUUUUUCAUACCCACCUAUUUACUGCCUACGAGGAAUGUCACCUCUUUUAAUCUCUUUUAUGAUCAUUCGUCUCAGCUUUAGCCCUGACGCAAGAGAAGAACAGGUUCUGUGUGAUAAGGGUAAGUGUUAGUGAAUGGGCCUUUCCUGUUAUCUGUUUUGCACACUUCAACAAGAAAUGAGAAAUCAGAUAUCAUAGUGGAGACAUUGUUUGUGGUGAAAUGGUUUACCAAGAAGAAUCACUGGAAACCCUGUUCGGAUGGUGAAAUUCCAAACUACUAAUUUUCUAAAUUAGAGGUGUUGAGUUAUGCAAUCGUUUUAUUUUACACAGCUUCCUACAAAUUUUCAUGUCUAAACUACUUUUUACACUUUAACCAACCUCUCACUGGACUCAGCACACUGCAGGUCAGCAAGGCAAACUGUUAUGAGAACAAAAAGGCCUGUUUGUCUCGUUUCACCCAUAUUUACACCAAAACAUUACAGUCAGGUGGUGACUUAUGAGCAGCAUUCAGAUAUGUAAGUAAAAUAGGGAAGAGUAAAAGAAAGAAAAAGUGAAAAAGAGUAGAGCAGAAAACUUGGCUUACAACGGUUUGGAUAAGGUGAGUCAUCUAUUCUAUCAUGUCUGGUUGAACAUUUCCACACUCUCUGCAACAGCGAUGUGAAUUAUUCCUCAGACGGAAGGCUGCCUGUAACCCGGUCUGCUCCUGUAACAGAGUUCUAGUGGAAUAUUUUAUCUCCUCGGGGACUGAAAUGUGGCUGAAGAGAUAAAGCUAAAUAACAGCUUAUGUUAGAAGACAGCAGUGUUUAAUACUUUAAUGAGUGAGCGACAGCUUGCUCCUGAGGUCACAAACAAAAAGUUUGCUAGUUUGUACAUCUGUACCUGGUUUUUGUUUGUUUGGGGUUUUUUUUGCUGCUGUGUAGAGAAGUUAAUCUGCGUGGUUUAUGCUGGGGCAGAAAUAAACAAAGUAAAAAAUAACUCAUUGCUACAAUAACUGCAAAAAUGUUCACAGGUGUUUAUUUUCCUAAUUCCUAAGCUAUUGAUAAUAUAAUUUCAUUUUUGAAUGAGGGAAUGUCUCAUUUCUGUGGUGACCUCCCGACUCAGGGGUUUUAUACUUUGUGGAUCAGGCAGGGGUCGGGGUGGAAAUCCUGGUGACCCUGAGCCUGGUUUCUGGUUAAAUCUGGCUUUAGGAGUAUGAAAUAUGACUUCUGGUAGAAGAGGUGGUGAGCAGGAGUGGGUAGACUUGUAUUUGUCCAGUUUGGUACCUGCAGAUUGGGUUUUUCCCCCCCACUGGAUUAGAGAAUUGCUUCUGUGUGCCUUGGACCUGGAUCCUGGAACAGGUCCUGACUGUCAUUUGUGCUCAUGUGCCAUAUCAUGUUUGUACUCAACCUUCUUGGAGUCCCUGGGCAAUAUGUUUGAAGGUACGCAUGAUGGGGACACUAUUGUUCAGCUGGACUGCUUCAGUGCUCACAUGGACAAUGACGGUGUGAUUAGGAGGGAAGACCUGAGUGAUCUGAAUUCACGUGGUGUUUUCUUGUUGCACUUCUGUGCUAACCACAGUGUGUCAAUUACAAACACUGUAUUUGAGCAUAAGACUGUCCAUAUGUGCACUUGGCACCAGGAUGCCCUAAGACACAGUUUGAGGAUUGAUUUUGUAAUCUUAUCAUUAAACCUGUGACCACAUGUCUUAGACAUUUUGGUAAAGAGAGAAACAGAGGCAUCAGCUGAUUGCCACCUGGUGUUGAGUUGGAUCAGGCGGCAGUGUGAGAUGCUGGAGAAACCUGGUUUACUUUAUGUACAGUAAAGGCUCUUAAGGAGUGUCUGGGAAAAACCUGCUCCACAGGAUCUUCAAAUCCCAGCUUUGGUAAAGCUUUGAGAGCAUUCCAAGGGUCCACAAUGAGUCCCUCAUAUCGUGCACCUCUGUUGCCAAAGCUGAUUUAUGGAGCUGUGGCUCCAAGGUAGUUGAUGCCUGAGUGGCAGUAAAACCCCAAACCAGAUAGACCACAGAGGUGAAGGUAGCAGCUAAGAUGAAGAAGGAGUCCUGUGAAGCGUGGGACUCUGGAGGCAGUUGACAAUAUAACCCUGGCAGUAGCUAAAGCAAAGACUUGGUCAACUUCAAGGUAUUUCUAGCUAAUCAUCAGAUGAAAGAGGAAGGGGUAGUGACUUCCUCCUCACACUGCAUAGAGUGGGCAAGGACAGCUAACCUCAAAUUAGAGAGUAUAAUUUGGUGGUAGAAAGAAUGAUCUCUUCAAUCCCACUUACACACCUUCUGCAGUGGUCCGGGACAAAGGGGGAUGAAUUGAACCUCAUGUUCAGAAGGAGCAAUGCAGUCCAAUCACCCUUUGUAGCUUGGUCAUAUGGGAGGGGCUUAGAGUAGAGCCAGUACUCCUUCACACUGAAAGGAGCCAAUUGAGGUAAUUAGUGCAUCUGAUCAGGGUGACUCCUUGAUGCCUCCUAGGUGAGGUGUUUCCUACCAUGUGCUACCAGGAGAAGGAUAGAGGGCAGAUUCAGGAUAGUAUCUCUCCACGACGCUGGCAAGAUUAAAUCUCUUGGUUGGCAUGGGAAUGCUUCUUCAGUGUCCCCACAGAUGAUCUUGGGAGAGGAAAUAUCAGGGUAUCUCUGCUCUGACCCAAACUUGAAUAAGCAACAGAAAAUGGAUAGAUGGACUAAACUUCAUCAUGUAAUGAGCAUCGUCAAGGAAUUUAUUUGCAAUUAUAAUAUAGUUCUCUUCUUAUCUUUUAUCUUCUAAUGUUAAUCCACUUUUCUUUUGAAUAGUUCAAUAAUGUUGCGACAGGUGGUACAGGUUCAGCCACAGAGCACGGUUCAAGAGGAAGGGCAAUGGAGCACUGGUCUGUGUGAGUGCUACAAAGACAUGGGCGACUGCUGUUUUGCCCUGUGCUGCCUCCCAGUCUUUACCUGUAAAGUGACCAGUGCAGUGGGAGCUUGCCCCUGCCUACCUCUGCUGGACUGUAUAGGCUGUGUACCACCAGCCUCUCUUGCCAUGAGGGCGUCUGUCAGGCAGCGAUAUGGCAUAAAGGGAACGGUAUGCAAUAACUGCAUGUACCACUUCUUUCUGCGGGCCUUGUACAUGGUGCCAGAUAGCAAGAGGGAGCCAAAUGAGGAAGAAUACCAUCACUUUUGUCAACAUGUCCCAAUAUGAAUCAUUAACAGAGACGUCACUACCAUCAUUCAUGCUAUUUGAAAAAAGCAAGGGCCAUUUAGAUGGAUUUCUAAUUCUGCUUCAAGCAUGACACUUUUAAGAAAAGGAUUAAAGAUCAGCACAUGACAGCCAUAAAUCAUCAACAUGGAGUUCAGCAGACACUGGGUUUCUGUUAUAUACACCUAUACAGCCUAUGGAGGCAUGCUGGUAAACUGAUGAUGGCUAUUUAUGUGCACACAUUUGCAGUUAUUGUUGUAUUUUUAUGUAUUUUUGCUUUGCUUUGUAUUUGCUUGAUUCUUAGAAUUUAUUGCAUUCUUUAAAAGUAUAUGGAUGCCCUUCAGCUUGUGGUCUCUGCUCAAUGUCUUGUUAUAACUGAAUAACGAUUCCAAAAUGAAAGUUGGAUCAAAAUCUGUGAUGUUACUUUGACAUCAGUUGCAGAUGCAGGUCCGACACCUGGAUUCUUAUUAGACCUUCUAGCAAGAGAAAUCCUUGCAUUCAAGGAUUGCUUUUUAUGCCUAUUUAUCAGUGAGAAAAUAAACAAAUAAACAAAUAAAUAAACAAAAAAAAUGUAAAAGUGUCUAAAGAAAAAAAAUGAAAAGAACAAACAUGCACAAACUCAGUGGCUCAGACACAAUACUUCAAAGAUUUUGAUGCUUCACUUGUCUUGCUGAGCUAAAUGACUUCAUGUUUAAGUGUUAGCAUUCCUGAGUUUAUGAUCUUAACAAAGCUUGGAUAACUGCAAAAGUCUAGUGUGUUAAGUUCACCAUGCAACAAAUGAAAUGGAAUUUAGAUGAGCAAAACAAUAAUACUUUAGCGUUAUUUUAUGUGGAGGAGACAUUUUUUCAUAGCCAUGUAUUAACCAUAGCACCUUAAUUACCUAGGAGAUAAAAGCCACUGACAUCAGGACCAGGAAGCUCCUGACCAUGCACGGAGGGUUUCACCCCAAGUCCAGCACUCUGAGCCUGUAUGCUAAGCCUCCAGCUGCUUCUCUGUCUGCAAAACCACCCAUGAAAGCAUUUCUGUCUCCAUCUGCUGGAUGUGCUGCAGCGUGCUGCGGAUGCCAGAUGUUGUUCGUCCCAUCGCACCCUCUGCAUGAUUCUACGUAUAUUCAGACAGAUGCCUUGCACCUUUUCUCCCUUGAGACAUUUUGUGUCUCUACUUAGGGACACGUGACAGCUGACUAAAUCCUCAGGCCACAUCCUGCUUUUAAUCCUGCUCAAUCCUUCCAGUAUUUUAGGCUUCUGGGUUUUUAUGAUAUUGAAAUAUCCAAAACACAUUACUGGAUGUCUUUGUCUGGAUAUCUCAUCUCAAAAAUCCGUUCUGGCUUGCUCAGCAUUCUCAAGCUGAUGCAUAUUUGGUUCUACUUUUGGAUGUGAAAGUAAAAUUUUAUCAGCUUUCCUAAUCCAGGAAUAUCAUCCUAUCUUUUCCAUGGUAUGAGAUAUGUAGUGCUGCCCAAACCUGUUAGGAGGUCAUUUGUGAGAAGAUGGGCGUGCACAAUACAUGGAUUAACAUGAAUGAAAGUGGUCUAAGGAGAUUGCAAAGAAAAGUGUCUGGACUUCUUUAAGUUGCUUGAAGACGUUUCACCUCUCAUCUGCUUUUUCUGUUUUAAGGUCAAAUGGCAGA